ensembl:snRNA U2 U2 spliceosomal RNA
AUCGCUUCUCGGCCUUUUGGCUAAGAUCAAGUGUAGUAUCUGUUCUUAUCAGUUUAAUAUCUGAUACGUCCCCUACCCGGGGACCAUAUAUUAAAUUGAUUUUUGGAAUAGGGAGAUGGAAUAGGGGCUUGCUCCGUCCACUCCACGCAUCGACCCGGUAUUGCAGUACUUCCGGGAACGGUGCACCCCCU